GUUCCCUCCUGUUGCAGAGAGCGUGCGGGAGGCCGUGGGUCGGAGGGUGAAGCUGACCCUGAGGCGCAGAGUCCAGCUGGAGGUCAAAGGUGACAAGGUGGAGAACAGAGUGCUGGCGCUGGCGUCCCAUCGAGCCUUUCUGCUGACGGCUCGGGUCCCGUCCAAGGUUGAACAUUCCUUCAGUUACCUGGACAUUCAGGGGAUCAGCAGCAACAAGCCCACUCAGGUG